rnacentral:rRNA from 1 species
AACGUAGGAGACAAACGUUAUCCGGAGUUACUGGGCGUAAAGGGCGUGUAGGCGGUCUGUUAAGUCUGGCGUGAAAGCUCUCGGCUAAACCGGGAGAGGUCGUUGGAUACUGGCAGACUAGAGGACGGUAGAGGCGGUGUGGAAUUCCGGGUGUAGUGGUGAAAUGCGUAGAGAUCCGGAGGAACACCAGUGGCGAAGGCGACAGCGCUGGGCCGUACCUGACGCUAAAGCGCGACAGCAUGGGGAGCAACGGG